GACGAACCGUGCGAACGUUAUUCGGAAUCACUGGGCUUAAAGCGCGUGUAGGCGGGCGGGAACGUCGGCGACUGAAAGCCCCCGGCUCAACCGGGGAAGCGGAGCCGAAACGGCCGGCCUGGAGGGGCGUAGGGGGACCUGGAACUUCCGGUGGAGCGGUGAAAUGCGUUGAGAUCGGAAGGAACGCCCGUGGCGAAAGCGAGGUCCUGGACGUCAUCUGACGCUGAGACGCGAAAGCUAGGGGAGCGAACGGG
rnacentral:rRNA from 1 species